rnacentral:rRNA from 1 species
GAUGAACGCUGGCGGCGUGCCUAAUACAUGCAAGUCGAGCGAACGGACGAGAAGCUUGCUUCUCUGAUGUUAGCGGCGGACGGGUGAGUAACACGUGGAUAACCUACCUAUAAGACUGGGAUAACUUCGGGAAACCGGAGCUAAUACCGGAUAAUAUUUUGAACCGCAUGGUUCAAAAGUGAAAGACGGUCUUGCUGUCACUUAUAGAUGGAUCCGCGCUGCAUUAGCUAGUUGGUAAGGUAACGGCUUACCAAGGCAACGAUGCAUAGCCGACCUGAGAGGGUGAUCGGCCACACUGGAACUGAGACACGGUCCAGACUCCUACGGGAGGCAGCAGUAGGGAAUCUUCCGCAAUGGGCGAAAGCCUGACGGAGCAACGCCGCGUGAGUGAUGAAGGUCUUCGGAUCGUAAAACUCUGUUAUUAGGGAAGAACAUAUGUGUAAGUAACUGUGCACAUCUUGACGGUACCUAAUCAGAAAGCCACGGCUAACUACGUGCCAGCAGCCGCGGUAAUACGUAGGUGGCAAGCGUUAUCCGGAAUUAUUGGGCGUAAAGCGCGCGUAGGCGGUUUUUUAAGUCUGAUGUGAAAGCCCACGGCUCAACCGUGGAGGGUCAUUGGAAACUGGAAAACUUGAGUGCAGAAGAGGAAAGUGGAAUUCCAUGUGUAGCGGUGAAAUGCGCAGAGAUAUGGAGGAACACCAGUGGCGAAGGCGACUUUCUGGUCUGUAACUGACGCUGAUGUGCGAAAGCGUGGGGAUCAAACAGGAUUAGAUACCCUGGUAGUCCACGCCGUAAACGAUGAGUGCUAAGUGUUAGGGGGUUUCCGCCCCUUAGUGCUGCAGCUAACGCAUUAAGCACUCCGCCUGGGGAGUACGACCGCAAGGUUGAAACUCAAAGGAAUUGACGGGGACCCGCACAAGCGGUGGAGCAUGUGGUUUAAUUCGAAGCAACGCGAAGAACCUUACCAAAUCUUGACAUCCUUUGACAACUCUAGAGAUAGAGCCUUCCCCUUCGGGGGACAAAGUGACAGGUGGUGCAUGGUUGUCGUCAGCUCGUGUCGUGAGAUGUUGGGUUAAGUCCCGCAACGAGCGCAACCCUUAAGCUUAGUUGCCAUCAUUAAGUUGGGCACUCUAAGUUGACUGCCGGUGACAAACCGGAGGAAGGUGGGGAUGACGUCAAAUCAUCAUGCCCCUUAUGAUUUGGGCUACACACGUGCUACAAUGGACAAUACAAAGGGCAGCGAAACCGCGAGGUCAAGCAAAUCCCAUAAAGUUGUUCUCAGUUCGGAUUGUAGUCUGCAACUCGACUACAUGAAGCUGGAAUCGCUAGUAAUCGUAGAUCAGCAUGCUACGGUGAAUACGAUCCCGGGUCU